GUGAGGAGAGGGAAGGGUCAUAGGUAGAGGGAUUUGGGUCAUAAAUCCAGUUCUGACUACUCUUUUUCCUCAGUA
ensembl:miRNA mdo-mir-12326 mdo-mir-12326